UACGAACUGCGCGAACGUUAUUCGGAAUCACUGGGCUUACAGGGUGCGUAGGCGGUCUGUUAAGCAGGGUGUGAAAUCCCUCGGCUCAACCGAGGAACAGCGCUCUGAACUGACAGGCUUGAGUAUGCUAGGGGUGUGCGGAACUUCCGGUGGAGCGGUGAAAUGUGUUGAUAUCGGAAGGAACACCGGUGGCGAAAGCGGCACACUGGGGCAUUACUGACGCUGAGGCACGAAAGCCAGGGGAGCGAACGGG
rnacentral:rRNA from 1 species